UACAGAGGUCUCAAGCGUUGUUCGGAUUCAUUGGGCGUAAAGGGUGCGUAGGCGGCGCGGUAAGUCGGGUGUGAAAUCUCGGAGCUUAACUCCGAAACUGCAUUUGAUACUGCCGUGCUUGAGGACUGGAGAGGAGACUGGAAUUUACGGUGUAGCGGUGAAAUGCGUAGAUAUCGUAAGGAAGACCAGUGGCGAAGGCGGGUCUCUGGACAGUUCCUGACGCUGAGGCGCGAAGGCCAGGGGAGCAAACGGG
rnacentral:rRNA from 1 species